AACAUUUAAAAUAUGUCUUUAGAUUUUAAAUCUUUAAGCAUAAACGGUGAAUACCUCGACUCCUAAAUCGAUGAAGACCGUAGCAAACUGCGAUAAUUCACUUGAAUUGCAGCCUACUGGGAUAGUUGAAAUGUUGAACGCACAUGAUGACAUCGGUCCUUU
rnacentral:rRNA from 1 species